UACGUAGGGGGCAAGCGUUGUCCGGAUUUACUGGGUGUAAAGGGCGCGUAGGCGGGUUAUUAAGUCAGAUGUGAAAUUACGGGGCUCAACCCCGUGCCUGCAUCUGAAACUGGUGAUCUUGAGUGCAGUAGAGGUAAGUGGAAUUCCUAGUGUAGCAGUGAAAUGCGUAGAUAUUAGGAGGAACACCAGUGGCGAAGGCGGCUUACUGGGCUGUAACUGACGCUGAGGCGCGAAAGCGUGGGGAGCAAACAGG
rnacentral:rRNA from 1 species